UACGUAGGGGGCUAGCGUUGUUCGGAAUUACUGGGCGUAAAGCGCGCGCAGGCGGCUAUCCAAGUCAGUGGUGAAAGCCCGGAGCUCAACUCCGGAACUGCCUUUGAUACUGGCGAGCUUGAGUUCGGGAGAGGUGAGUGGAACUGCGAGUGUAGAGGUGAAAUUCGUAGAUAUUCGCAAGAACACCAGUGGCGAAGGCGGCUCACUGGCCCGAUACUGACGCUGAGGCACGAAAGCGUGGGGAGCAAACAGG
rnacentral:rRNA from 1 species